rnacentral:misc_RNA from 1 species
GAGAGAAAUACGAUUGGUAGGGAUAUUGAUCUUCCGUGGGAGGUGCCAUGUGCAGCGUCGCCGUUCAAGCGACUUCGCGAUUCUUCUUCCCUAGAUCACUCUCUACUCCCGUUGUUUCCCUUCUUUACCAAUCCUUGCUUUCCCUUCGAUCCUCUGCUACCCUUUCUACUGUCGCUUAUCUGAUGGUUAAUUCCUUCGAAGACCUCUGAUGAUUUGGGAUCCCAAU